rnacentral:lncRNA from 1 species
GGCAGUAGUAAUUGGAUUGGACUGGUCGAUCUUAAAGAAGGUAUUUGGCGCUGGACAUAUGAUCAGUCAAAAGCCGUGUUUUUAACGUGGUAUUCUGGUUACGGUUCCAAGGGCACUGGCAGUAAUUGUGUGUACUUAUCUGGUGGUAGAACCAAUUGGUUCGAUUAUGAUUGUCAUGUCAAGUUGUAUUAUAUAUGUGAAAGCAAUUUCUGUAAGUACAUUUUAACUCUAUUUGUCAUUUAAAUGUAUUCAACAAUAAAUUUUGGGAGACGGAUUUAUAUAAGUUUUUCCAUACUUGUUUCCGAAUCCCAUAUUUGAACUUCAUGUAACAUUGUAAUAUUUUAUUCUUGUAAUUUUUCAAUUGUAAAUAGUGUUUAAACUAACAAUAAAUUUUACACCAUUUCUUGUACGGACUAAUCAUUCAUGACGUUUAUACCUAAUGGUGUAAGUUAAUGAGGGGAAGGACGUGAUAAACACAAUAAGGAAUUCACUUGCUAUUGUGUCGUUUUGUUUUAAUUUUCAGGGAAUCGAACAUCUUUAAAGGUUAUUUGCAUUUAAUUCAUUCAGCUACGUAUUGUAUUGUGUCAAAAUUUAAAAUAAAAAUAUAUGGAAUUAAUACCAGCGAUACAACUAACAACUUGAGACAAUGACAUAGUGAUAUGAUACUACAUGACACAAAAAUGCCAAACCAUAUAGUAGGCUACAGGAGGCCAAUCCAUGACAACAAUUCAAACAAUUCAAACGAAAAAAAAAAAAACGAUCUGAUAUAUUCAAUAAACGAACAACAAAUAUAACAGACAUCAACCAAAUUCAAAACUAAAAAAUUACAACAGAUACAAAGUAACGAUUUUAGGGACUCAAGGCAAAUACUGAAUCUAGUUCAAACUAAUUACAAUAAUAGAUGAAUUAUGAAACCUGACUUAAAUAUCUAAGUAGACGUAAGGAUGUAUUAAAAAAAGGUUCUACACAUCAUGACCUUGUGCAGUGCCAGAAGUAUGGUCUCGAUAGCAAUGAACAUAAAAUAUAUCUUUAUGUGUAAAUAAGUGUUGUAUGUGUCAUUGGCUAAAUUGAUAGUCCUUUUUUAUUUUCUGUGGUUUGUUCUUAAACAAAUCAGUAUGGUCAAAAGAGAAAAAUAAUAACUUAGAACAUGUUCGACCUACAUCAUAUUUCGUCUUGCUAAAAACAUGAAACAUCCUAUAAACACUUAUUGCAUAAUUGAUUUACAUAGGGUGAAAAAAGGUUAAAAAAUAAUACAGAUCAGACGUAAAUUUGUAUUUUUGUUUUGUUUUAAUAGUGACUUGGUGCCGGUAGUUGUUAUUUGAAAUACAAAUAAUCUAUGACUUUGCUUACAAUAUUAAUAUUAACACGUUGUUGAUCAUGUUGAAAGCAAAGCCAUGGUUUUUUUUUUAUGUCAAUUCUAUUAUUUUUAUAAUGUCUGUAAGUGUUUUCCUUUUUGCACUUCUAACGUUACUUUUUAGUUGCUAAUUAUGUUCUUUUAGAAUAAAACAUUUUUGCUAAAUAUUUCUAUGUUGUUUCUUUUUCAGGUUUUUAAAUCAUCCACCGAAGUGUAAACCUAAGAACAAACACAACAUGAAAAGACCCUGCUAUAAAUGUUGAAUAAAAUGAGAAUAAAAAAUAUAGUCUUCU